rnacentral:rRNA from 1 species
UUAGAUGCAUGCGGGCUGGAACCCCCAGCUGGGCACUGCUUCACGGCGUGCGCGGCUGGGCCGGCCCUGCUGAAUUAUUCACCCGUGUCUUUUGCGUACUUCUUGUUUCCUGGGUGGGCUCGCCCGCCAUCAGGACCAACCAUAAACCUUUUGCAAUAGCAAUCAGCGUCAGUAACAACGUAAUUAAUUACAACUUUCAACAACGGAUCUCUUGGUUCUGGCAUCGAUGAAGAACGCAGCGAAAUGCGAUACGUAGUGUGAAUUGCAGAAUUCAGUGAAUCAUCGAAUCUUUGAACGCACAUUGCGCCCUUUGGUAUUCCAAAGGGCAUGCCUGUUCGAGCGUCAUUUGUACCCUCAAGCUUUGCUUGGUGUUGGGCGUCUUUUGUCUCCAGUUCGCUGGAGACUCGCCUUAAAGUCAUUGGCAGCCGGCCUACUGGUUUCGGAGCGCAGCACAAGUCGCGCUCUUAGCCAGCCAAGGUCAGCGUCCAGCAAGCCUUUUUUCAACCUUUGACCUCGGAUCAGGUAGGGAUACCCGCUGAACUUAAGCAUAUCAAAGC